UUUGAGCACAGGAGGUAUCUUUAGCUUCUGCCUAUCUCAACCUUUUGAGACUCGAGCUACGGCGCAUCCACCAUAGUGUCGUGAUACUAUUGUGAUGUGGAUAGACGCAGACACGCCCACAAUUGAAUUACAGGCACGCUUUCAAUAGACAACCAAGGCUAAGGUUCGUGUAGGCGGUUAAGACAGCUGUGCCUGGCUGUGAAGGACCGUAAGGCGACACUUCAGCACACGAUGCACGUGUCUUCUUGUCUCUAUCCGUCAGGUGAAUAUUCUCUUAUUGAGUUUGCAAUUCUUCUCAGGUAGGCUCGAGCUACGUUCCUUCCCUUUCCUACCUGAAUCGCUGGGUUUUCCUGUUGGAUAAAAUUUGCCCUGAAGAACCCUGCAGCAGGAGGCAGUUGGGUGGCAACACAUGAUCCAAGAUGCAUCUGAUUAUAUUUAACGUCUUACAUCAAAAGCUCAGUUGCGUCGCAUCCAGGGCACCAACGUAGGCAGCAUGCAGCCACAAUAAUUCCCUUCUUAUUACCAACUGUAAUCACAACAGCAAGCUAGCGGCAACAGCAGCAGCAGGCCAGCAGCACCACUACCACCACUAGGCUAGCAGCAGCAGCAGGUUAGCGGCAGCAGCAGAAGGCUAGCAGCACCACCACCAGGCUUGGGGCAGCAGCAACAGGCUAGCACCAGCACCAGGCUAGCAGCAGCAGCAGCAGGUUAACGGCAGCACCAGCUUAGCAGCACCAGCACCAGCUUAGCAGCAGCAGCAGGCCAGCAGCAGCACCAGGCUAGCAGCAGCAAGCCAACAGCACCGGCGGCAAGCCGGCAGCGGCGGCAGCAACCUGGCAGACAACCCAGGGGUAAGAGCGCACCACGUUUUUCACGCUGGGUAGCAUCCUCGCGGACAUCUGCAUGGCGAUCUCUGGAAAGUCCCCAGAGCGAAGCAGCAGUGGGCAGCUUGAGAAACAUCUAUUGGUACCUUUACACCUGCGAUGCUCUCCGACUGGAAAUUGGGGGCGCCUUACUGCUGUAGUUAACGGAUUCACCAGAGCUCGCUAUGGUGCGACAAUGCUACACGAACUGUGGUUGCUACACACACAUACACACACAUACACACACAUACACACACAUACACACACAUACAUACACACCCUGGGGUAUUCCCUUGGGGUCUGGGGCUCGCUGUAACACCUACUACCAGCUCGGCCACCUGCCGUAUAGGCACAGCGUACAUGCCAUCACAACCAGACAAGCCACAAUCGGUCUGCGUCACCACCCGCGUCAUGUAGUGUGCCGCCGCCACGGAUCGUAAAUUAGCUUCUGCCUAGGCCGAACUAGCCGCCCAAACUUCUGGCCUGACCGAGGCGCGGAUGGUCUGAUAUUUCUCGAUGAUGUUGAUCGUCACGGAUAUUGGUGGGAUGGUCUCGGUGUCAAGGACCUUCUGACCUUCUUGAUUGUCCCAUGCCAUGCCCAUCCCCCCCCAACCCUGGUAGGCAUCUGCUGCGUGUCUUUUCUGUGACCGGCUUCACCCGACGCCAUGCAUUUUCGUGCGCGUGCUUGGUGAACCAGUUGCGGGCAACAGCACAACCGCAAAUGCACAGUUUGUGGCUACAUGUCGGUUUGGGUGCAGGUGGAGGCUAUAACGCCGGUCUUAUGGGUCGUGGAUUCGUUUCAAGCCACCCAACCAGUUCGACUCUUCGCUGCCAAUGGCUGUGGUCGACGGGGCCGACUGUUUAAUUUUUGCGCUGGUUGAGGCUUCAUAUGUUUGCAUCCCUGUAUCUAUUCGCUGUAAUAUUUUCGUUGGAGGCAAUCUUCCCAACAACUAGUCAUAAAGUGAAAACAUCUGGGGAAGGGCUCAAGUGAAAUCAUUCUGGAAUCCAACUUUAAG
rnacentral:lncRNA from 1 species